GAGGCAUGCCACUGCCUGCUAGCAUGUACCAUCCAUGUAGCUUAUGAGCAACUCUUGAACCAUAGAUCUGUCUGGCAUUCUCUCUGCUGCACCAUAUAUUGGAGCUAAUCCUCCAUUAAUUGGACCUGGAUUCCUUUUCACAGUGGUGACAGAUUCUUGCAGGUCCUGGAGAAAGUCGUUGACUAUAGAUACGUGUUGAAGCGUCACGCAGAUGUGAAUACUGCUAGGUCUUUGCAAAGCAUUCAAAUGCCAGCCUUUUGAUGACAUAACGUCAUUGACUUCAAAAAUGUCAAUAACAGUAGACCCAAAUGCUAUAAUUGUCAUGUCUGGCUUUCCAAUGACAAAUAACUCAGGAAUCUCGUUUAUCCCUCUAUGUAUCCUCUUUGAUACUUCCAUGAUCUCUUUUGUGUUCUGCAAAUAUCCUUCUUCUCCCAAAGACAUCAUUGCUG
rnacentral:misc_RNA from 1 species